GGUGAGGUGCCUGAGAGGCCGAAAGGAACAGUUUGCUAAACUGUCGUACGGGAAACCGUACCGUGGGUUCGAAUCCCACCCUCACCGCCA
rnacentral:tRNA from 2 species